CAAAUAGGAUUUUGUAUCCUCUUAAAUUGAUUCCCUUCAGAAAAAUGUAAUAUAAAGUCUCUGAGUAUAGGAGCUGGGCACUCUGAUCUGACUCUCUCCAGAAUAAUCCUAUGUGGUGUCUUACACAGGAUUACCUCCCCAAACCAGCCUUCCCUCCAGAACUCUUACUAGAGAGGUGGAGCUGCCUUUUUUUAAUGCAUUGUUUGCUUUUCAUCUCAGAUAUUAAUAGCUCUUUCUAGUAACUUAUUUAGUGACCUUAAAUCAGAAAGGAGCAGGAUGUGUGCCAGUUAGUUGCAAAAGGAAACUCUACACUUUAUGUACACACCCAAACAAAAAUGUACUGCUAAUGUCAAAAUAGCAACAUUGAAGUGACUAGAUACAGAACUGAAACAUCUCAUGGCAAUGUGCACAUUUGCAUUUCCUUUUGUCCCAACACCGGUGUUUGCAGAAAAUGCAGUGAAUGGUUUCUAGUCUGCAGUGAAGAUAAUCACUGAGAGCUCCAAAGAAAACUAUUGCCAUGGACAUGCACGGAUGCAGGCUCUCUUUUCCUCGUGAAUAGACUGCAAAGGAGUUGCUAAGCUGUUGCAGGCCUGGAUGACAUUGAAGGUACAACUCCCUCCUCUUUCUGCUCUGCCAGAGCAUGUUAUAACUGAAAAGCCCUGGAAGAAGCUACAGUGAGAGAGAAUUGUUUGAGAACAACACAGAGAUUUAACUUGAAGCUAUGGAUGUAGAGAAUCUCUAAAAAUUAUCUGAAAGUCACAACAGUAUCAGAGAUUCCAUCUGAGGAGACUGUCCUUCCCUUCUCUAAAGCCAAGGACAUCAAUAUUCUGCUUUAGGCCCAACAAUGACAAAGACUACAUCAUACUCAUUACAGCUCAAAAACUCUGCAGCUUUGACCCACAUGAUGGAGCAGAAUGAAGAAAUGUCUCCACUAAAAGAUGCUUUGGUCCUAUUUUGUAUCCAAAAGAGACUCCUAUGUUCACUUCACCUGAAAGAAGCAGAAAGAUGGAGGAACUUUCUGUCCUUGUUUAGUCUCUAAAUAGAGUUAGGUCCCUCCUUUCCUGCUGCUCUAAAAUUUAUGGCCUUCCAGUAGCCUACAGCUACCUUCAAGAAAACGAAAUAGGGCAAGAGUGGACCAGGGACCCAGCAGAAGAUGAGGCAUAAUCCAACCAGUGAAAAGGCAUUGGCAAAAGGCCUGAGGAAAAAGGAAGGCCAUGAUCUGAUUAUGUGAAUAAUCUUCCCUUAUGUCACAGUCCACAUAAGAAAGAUGUUGCAACAUGGUCCUUGAGUAAGUAUGCAACACUGGGUUUGUUUUUCACACUGUAAACAACAGAUAAAAAUGGAAUACUGAUAACACUUGGAAUUAUAAUGCAUUAUGCCUUGAGCUGGCUGCUUGGUGGAAUAUGAUGAUGAAUAUCUGAGCCUUCCCAAAUCACAUUUAUUGUAAUGUGUUGGUAGCACUAAUUUCUUUAAGCUGGAGUCCUUUUUCUCACCUUUUUGAUCCCCACUUAGCUUUAGAUUCUGUAAGAAUUCUCAGGACUAAAAGUAAAACCCCUCUUUUUUUCAUUUAUUCAAAUUAUAGUUCUGAAGUUUUGCAUUGGUGCAAAGAAGCCACACAGCUGCUAAGAAGAAUACAGAACUUUGUGCCAGGAUCCUAGGCUGGAAAAGGGGAAUGAAAAAGUCAUUGUAUCACACAGAAAAAAACCUCAAAGUACACCCAACCCAACCAUGCUGUGGGUGCAUUUUAAGCCCUGAAGUUUGCAAUGAAAAUAGCCCUGGGUGCAUGCCCUUGUAUGCAUUAAAGCACGAGCCCUUAAGACACAACAAGGCUCUAGGCUGAAAUGCACACCAGGAUGGACACAGGGUCACCCACCUGGAUCCAAAAACCUGGACUAUCCUGCAAACACAGCUCAAACAGGCAGCUCCUAUAAAGCUUACAACUGUCUUGAAUAUCCACUUACCCCUAGCUGCUUCUUCCAUACGCUACCCUCCUUCUGCUAACAUGGCAGCAUGUAAUUAUUCUAAAAAGAACAGCAACAACACAGCAUUCAAACAGUCCUUGUGACUCAGUCCUGGGCCUUCACAGAGGUUGUGAGGCCAAAACUCUGAGGAGGGAGCAUUCUCUUUGCAAUGUAUGUUUCACUUGAAAGCAUUUUCUGUAUGCAGAAUUAAACAUUUUUAUCUUCACUUAAAAUGCCCUGAGACUCUCCUGUGAUGUUAAAUUAGGGAAAAAAGUGCACCCUUUGCUUUUGACAGAAUUUGUGCAAUUUUGGGAUUUUCUACUUACAUCCAUGUUAAGGCACAAGAAAAAUAUGUCCAAUAAAAAGCUGUGAUUUAAUAUGAAGAUAGAAAGUGUAAAUACAAAACAAGAAAUUGGAAACCAGAAAUCUUCCCUUCAAGAAAAGCAUCCUUACUACCAGCAUCAUAAGGCAGUCUAAAUUUCGGAAGCAGGAUGCCAAGUAGGGUGACAUUGCAGGACUGCUCUGCUAAACCAUGUUCUGCAGAGAUUUCUGGGAUAGAAUGUGCUCACUUCAGUUUGCAGGAUUCUUUGUGGUAUUUAUAUUAGUACAAAAUUUGUUGAU